rnacentral:rRNA from 1 species
AUACGGAGGACGCGAGCGUUAUCCGGAUUCAUUGGGUUUAAAGGGUGCGCAGGCGGCCGUGCAAGUCAGCGGUGAAAGCCCGGGGCUCAACCCCGGAAGUGCCGUUGAUACUGCGUGGCUGGAAUGCGGUCGAGGCGGGCGGAACGGGGCGUGUAGCGGGGAAAUGCGUAGAUAUGGCGCAGAACGCCGAUAGCGGAGGCAGCUCGCCAGGCCUGCAUUGACGCUCGGGCACGAAAGCGUGGGGAUCGAACAGGAUUAGAUCCCCUGGUAGUCCACGCCGUAAACGAUGGGCGCUCGUCGUCGGCGACAGACAGUCGGCGGCCAAGCGAAAGCGAUAAGCGCCCCACCUGGGGAGUACGGUCGUAAGGCUGAAACUCAAAUGAAUUGACGGGG